GCUGCUUCCCGGGGCUCCUCUUGCCCCGUUAGGACAAGAGAUGGUGAUAGCUCUCCAGGGCUGCUAGCCUCAGGGUUAGUGCAGUAUCUAUAAAUGAGCUUCUUAAGCCUCACCCUCAGCUUUGUGGGCAUGACAAUCCAUUCCAGUAUUCUUUGCCUGGAGAAUCCUAUGGACAGAGGAGCCUGGUAGGCUACAGUCCAGGGUCGCAUACAGGUGGACACAACUGAAGCGACUAAGCCGCAGAAGCAGCAGCGUACCCCUUAGCCACAUAAAAUGGUGAAGCUGA